rnacentral:rRNA from 1 species
GGCUCAGGACGAACGCUGGCGGCGUGCUUAACACAUGCAAGUCGAACGGUGAUGGGGAGCUUGCUUCUYUGAUCAGUGGCGAACGGGUGAGUAACACGUGAGCAAUCUGCCCUUGACUCUGGGAUAAGCGUUGGAAACGACGUYUAAUACCGGAUACGACCCUUGGAGGCAUCUUUGGGGGUGGAAAGAAUUUUGGUCAAGGAUGAGCUCGCGGCCUAUCAGCUAGUUGGUGAGGUAAUGGCUCACCAAGGCGACGACGGGUAGCCGGCCUGAGAGGGUGACCGGCCACACUGGGACUGAGACACGGCCCAGACUCCUACGGGAGGCAGCAGUGGGGAAUAUUGCACAAUGGGCGAAAGCCUGAUGCAGCAACGCCGCGUGAGGGACGACGGCCUUCGGGUUGUAAACCUCUUUUAGUAGGGAAGAAGCGAAAGUGACGGU